rnacentral:lncRNA from 1 species
GUCUUGAAACAAGGUUUCUAUCUAUAUAUGGCUUGCACCCUAUCAUUCACCAUAGACGACGAAUCGAAGCCAACAAGUUCACUGUAGCAGCUCGGGUUUUCUGGAAAAUUUUCCAGAUUCCGGCCAUCUCCGGCGACAUUUUUGAGCUUGAUCGAUGCGCCUCGAGACGUGGAUGAUAUUCCUCCAAGCCUUGUUCCACGAAUCGAAGGAAAAAUCGACGAAUCAAAGUUUGCAGGCCAGUUUAGCUUGAGGUCGAGCGUACUUGGGGUUGAGGCAUAGCUGUCAUAGCUUCCGCAUUAUAAAAGCAUCGGGCGACGUACCGAGCUAUUGCUCGACGAAGGAACUCGUAUGCAUGGUCGCCUAAAUAGUACUUUUGCAGGCCAGUUUAGCUUGAGGUCGAGCGUACUUGGGGUUGAGGCAUAGCUGUCAUAGCUU